rnacentral:rRNA from 1 species
AUUGAACGCUGGCGGCAGGCCUAACACAUGCAAGUCGAACGAGUGGCGGACGGGUGAGUAAUGUCUGGGAAACUGCCCGAUGGAGGGGGAUAAAUCCUGGAAAACGUAGCGAAUAACGCAUACACUCGGAUGUGCCCAGAUGGCGUUAGCUCGUGGGUGAGGUAGCGGCUCACCGAGGCGACGAGCCCUCGCUGGUCUGCGAGGAUGACCAGCCACAUGGGAACUGGUGCACGGUCCAGACUCCUACGAGAGGCAGCAGUGGGGAAUAUUGCACAUGGGGCGCAAGCCUGAUACAGCCCUGCCGCGUGUAUGACGAAGGCCUUCGGGUUUUAAAGUACUUUCAGCGGGGAGGCGUUACCCGCAGAAGAAGCACCGGCUAACUCCGUGCCAGCCGCCGCGGUAAUAC